CCUAGGGGUGGCUGCAGUGGGGAAUAUUGGACAAUGGGCGAAAGCCUGAUCCAGCCAUGCCGCGUGUGUGAAGAAGGCCUUCGGGUUGUAAAGCACUUUCAGUGGGGAAGAAAGCCUUGGGGCUAAUACCCUCGAGGAAGGACAUCACCCACAGAAGAAGCACCGGCUAACUCCGUGCCAGCAGCCGCGGUAAUACGGAGGGUGCGAGCGUUAAUCGGAAUUACUGGGCGUAAAGCGCGCGUAGGCGGUCUGAUAAGCCGGUUGUGAAAGCCCCGGGCUCAACCUGGGAACGGCAUCCGGAACUGUCAGGCUAGAGUGCAGGAGAGGAAGGUAGAAUUCCCGGUGUAGCGGUGAAAUGCGUAGAGAUCGGGAGGAAUACCAGUGGCGAAGGCGGCCUUCUGGACUGACACUGACGCUGAGGUGCGAAAGCGUGGGUAGCAAACAGGAUUAGAUACCCGAGUAGUC
rnacentral:rRNA from 1 species